rnacentral:rRNA from 1 species
GACGAACGCUGGCGGCGUGCCUAAUACAUGCAAGUAGAACGCAGUUGCGAACGGGUGAGUAACGCGUAGGUAACUGCCUCAUAGCGGGGGAUAACCAUUGGAAACGAUAGCUAAUACCGCAUACUGUGAGACGGACUUGCGUUGUAAUAGCUAGUUGGUGAGGUAAAGGUUCACCAAGGCGACUAUAAAUAGCCGGCCUGGGAGGGUGAGCGGGCACACAUGGAAUGAGAAGCGGGCCAGGCUCCCACGGGGGGCAGCAGUAGGGAAUCAUCGGCAAAGGACGGAAAGCUGUCCGAGCAACGCCGCGUGGGUGGAGAAGGGUUUUGGGUUGUAAAGCUCUGUUGUUAGAGAAGCGGUACCUAAACAGAAAGGGACGGCUAACUACGUGCCAGCAGCCGCGGUAAUUC